rnacentral:rRNA from 1 species
AUUAGGGGGUGGGGUUUUUUAGAGUUUGGUCCUGGCUCAGAUUGUAUCGCUGGCGGCAUGCUUUACACAUGCUAGUCGAACGGUAACAGGCCGCAAGGUGCUGACGAGUGGCGAACGGGUGAGUAAUGCAUCGGAACGUGCCCAGUCGUGGGGGAUAACGCAGCGAAAGCUGUGCUAAUACCGCAUACGAUCUAUGGAUGAAAGCGGGGGACCGUAAGGCCUCGCGCGAUUGGAGCGGCCGAUGUCAGAUUAGGUAGUUGGUGGGGUAAAGGCUCACCAAGCCAACGAUCUGUAGCUGGUCUGAGAGGACGACCAGCCACACUGGGAGUGAGACACGGCCCAGACUCCUACGGGAGGCAGCAGUGGGGAAUUUUGGACAAUGGGCGCAAGCCUGAUCCAGCAAUGCCGCGUGCAGGAAGAAGGCCUUCGGGUUGUAAACUGCUUUUGUACGGAACGAAACGGUCCGGGUUAAUACCCUGGGAUAAUGACGGUACCGUAAGAAUAAGCACCGGCUACCUACGUAGCCACC